rnacentral:rRNA from 1 species
UACGGGGGGGGCAAGCGUUGUUCGGAAUUACUGGGCGUAAAGGGCUCGUAGGUGGCCAACUAAGUCAGACGUGAAAUCCCUCGGCUUAACCGGGGAACUGCGUCUGAUACUGGAUGGCUUGAGAUUGGGAGAGGGAUGCGGAAUUCCAGGUGUAGCGGUGAAAUGCGUAGAUAUCGGGAGGAACACCUGUGGCGAAAGCGGCUCACUGGACCACAACUGACGCUGAUGCGCGAAAGCUAGGGGAGCAAACAGG